rnacentral:lncRNA from 1 species
AGCAACUGCCUCAGGUGGCAGGUGCUAUGUGUUGGCAGCAAUCACAGCAGCCACCUGGCUGUCCUUCCCAAGGCCUCUGGCUGGUCCCUUGUAUUGGAAGAUAGAGCUCUCUCUGCCAUGUGGCCUGCCAUACACUCUGUGUAGCAUCUUACUCCCCUUAUGUGUGAUGGAGGAUGCGAUCCUGUCACUAGUGUUGAAUGCAGUCAGUUCAGCUUCUGUACAUGAAAUAGGAGCAUCAUCUUGCCCUUUGCCUCAGGCAGCAAAAUGUCUUGAGCUGGACUUGAUCUAGCUGAAGUCCCAUUGGGCUGGAUCCAGAGUUUCCUUGCAGAUGGAACGGCAUAGAACACCUGUGGUACAAAUUGGAGCUGUGAUGAUCUAAGAGCUUGGCAAAGAAGCUUUUCAGCAGCCACUGUAGAAACUAAUUUUAUAACGGAGCUGUUAGGAACGCAUUUUUUGACUAAUGGGGGAAAUGAGGAGUACAGAAAUUUCAAAAGCAGCUGUGGAAGUGGCAAUAUCAACAAACGGAAAGCUACACUGCAGUUGUGUAUAACAAACCUCCCCAGUGUAUUUUCUUCCUCACAGUGCCUCAAGAAUAGAGGAGUGAUAGAUAGGGGUGCUUAACCCUUCCCCUUCCAGUCACAUUCUCCCAGCUGCCUUUACCCCUGUGGGAUUCCAGGACUGUGUUUCUGUAAUGUCCUUAACUCUAGUAAGGGUCAAAGCAAUGUGAAGGGGUAACUUUCAAAGGAAAUACUAAGCUGUUUCUUCUCUGAGGCAAAUUACCCGCUCCUGAAAAUGGAUUGCCAGGGCUUCAUUAAAUGCAGCUGCUGGGUAACAUGUUGUUUGCUCAUUAGGGGAUGUGAAAACUUUUUUAAAAAAUAGGCGGGGGGAGGGCGGACGACAUUUCAAACAUUUUGAGAACUUGUAGAGGGCUGUGUAUCUGAAAUGAAUAUGUGCAAACUUGGAUGUGCUGUAUAUUUACAGUGUUCUAAUCCCAGUAGAACAGGAGGAAUUUAGAAGCAAGGUGUAUCAUUUUAAAGAGCAUUUAUUUAAAUGCAAAGAAAAUUAAUGCAGCAUCAUGUUGACUUUGAAAUAAAGCUUUCAGCAUGGAAAUGUUAACAAGCUUCCACUGAUGAGCACUGAUUAAACCUAAUCCUGAGUCGACAUAAUCCUUUGGUGUUUGGCUAGGAUUGCAUGUGAGUUUUCAUAUAAUUCCAAGCCUCCCUUGUCUUUUAUCACUGCAGCUCAUGUGGAUUGGCACUGGUCAGGUAUGUGAGAGCAAACUCACUUUGUCUUGUGGCAGGGCUUCCCUUGGGAAUACUUUAGGGGUGAAAUCCCACAUUCCCUUUUGUCUGCUACAGGGUGAUUUUCUUUAACCACGUCUUACAGUUUAAAGGAAGAAGACGAUGUUCAGGGCUGUACAAGCGAAGGAAAUCUGUGGUGAUUCUUACAGUCCUGGCAUGUUUUACAAAAGGACAACCCCUUCCUUAUCCCAGCAUCAACUGAAAAUAAGCUUGCUCACAUGAGAUAAUAAAUCGCAAUGGCAGUGGAGUAUUUAUGAGUGCUGCUUCAGCAGGCCUGGCAUUUUAUAGGAGGGCCCAUUAAGCGUUUUUGCUUUCACCAGGUUUAUAGGGUUGGCUUAUAAGGCAGCUGCAUAUGCAACAAGGGGAAUCCAACGUAACAACUGUAAAAUAAUAUAUAUAUUUAAAAGCCAAGGAGAUAUUUGCAUAGAAAAGAGAUGGGCACUAUUUAUUCCCAGUGUGUUUCGAGGAUAGCUGUUUCUCAGAAAUAUCAAUGUUUCUCAGAUUCCUCAUUACCCACAUCAGUGAGCAAACCUGACCUGGAAGUCUUUAUCCAGAGGUUCUCUGGGAGUCCCUUAUGGCUGCUGCUGUGGCUUGACAUUACUGUAUGAAGAAGCUCCUUGGCUUUAUUUGCUGCUGUCCUUUGUGCUGAACUGGAUAGUGCAGCAUACCAGUAUGUAUAAUGCCCCCCUCAAGUCCCAGGUUUAGAAUCUGCCUGCAGAUUCAAAUGCUGCCAACUUGACAGAUACCCAACCUGUGCUGACAGGAUGGCUGCAAUGUUAAUUUCGUCGUCUAAAGCUGUAGUAUAUUAAAGGAGGAAGUAGUCGUAGUCUACAAAAGAUGCAGUUUUGCCCCAUUCAUCUGACUUGUUUUGUUUUGUUUUUUGUCUUUCAUAAGCCAACUAUCCUAAUGCAUGUCUCUCAUCUGCUUUCCUUGAGGCACUGUUUUUGUUUAUCCCCAUUGCUUCAGCCAUAUAAGCCCUUGCCAUCGUGCCUUUGGUGGUUGUUGUUAAAAAUGUGCACUGCCUCUAUGUAAUCUCUUUUUCCUCUCUCUGUUUCUUAAGAUUUCCUCCUAGUUACCUUGCAGAGCAAGAAAGAAAAAGUGGCUAGGCUGUGUGAUUGCACAAUAAUAAGCAACCAGGAAGAUUUUCAAAAAACAACAUCACCCAUGAGUGUCCUUGAAAGUCAGGAUGAGACAGGCACCUAAGGAAACUUUUUGCCUUUGAACAUUUAUUCCAGAUUUCCCAGAAAACAGCAAGCUAGUCUUUGCAUAGAAAAUCUGGGAGUGGGGGUGGGUGGGUUUCAAGUUCAUAAACCUAAAGGCAAUGAGCCUGAUUGAAAAGGCAAAUUUGUCAUUCAAAUCUUUAGCAGAAGAUACUUCAUGAGCCAGAAUACUAAUCGGGCCAUCUGAACAUGUGCAUGACAGGCUGCCACCCAGACUAAUGGAAGUGAGCUUCUUUUGCCUUUGUUUCUGGUUGAAUAGUUUGGCCUUGGCUGGUUUUUAUUCACUAAAGUAUCCAUAAUCACCUGCCACGCUUUCUUUGUUAAUGAUCACUCACUAUUCAAUUAACCAUCCAUUAAACCACAAGUCUUCAAUACCUUCAUUCUUGCACAGGAG